GGCUACACACGUGCUACAAUGGGUAGUACAGAGAGUCGCAAAGCCGCGAGGCGGAGCUAAUCUCAGAAAACUAUUCUUAGUUCGGAUUGUACUCUGCAACUCGAGUACAUGAAGUUGGAAUCGCUAGUAAUCGCGAAUCAGCAAUGUCGCGGUGAAUACGUUCUCGGGUCUUGUACACACCGCCCGUCACACCACGAGAGUUGGUUGCACCUGAAGUAGCAGGCCUAACCGUAAGGAGGGAUGCUCCGAGGGUGUGAUUAGCGAUUGGGGUGAAGUCGUAACAAGGUAUCCGUACGGGAACGU
rnacentral:rRNA from 1 species